rnacentral:lncRNA from 1 species
UUUACAAAACAAUUGGACCAAUGUAUCAUUACAUAUCAUAGGCCAACAAUUAGAUAGGAUAGAAGAAAAGAUAGAUAGAAAUCACGAAGACAUUACAAAUAUAGAACACAUAGAAACACCCCAGGCACCAUCUCCUUUGAUACCAAAAUCAAACACAAUAUAUGUAUCCCAACGAUAUAGUAAUCCAAAACCAUAUGAUCUAAUAGAUCCAUCUAUAAAACCCAUUAAACAACCUUUCACAAAAAUGAUACCUCCAUCACAAAAC